AAGGCCUUAGCUUAAUUAAAGCGUCUGUUUUGCAUACAGGAGAUGUGGGUUAGUGUCCCGCAGGUCUUA
rnacentral:tRNA from 1 species